rnacentral:rRNA from 1 species
CCAGACUCCUACGGGAGGCAGCAGUGAGGAAUAUUGGUCAAUGGGCGCGAGCCUGAACCAGCCAAGUAGCGUGAAGGAUGACUGCCCUACGGGUUGUAAACUUCUUUUAUAAAGGAAUAAAGUGAGGCACGUGUGCCUUUUUGUAUGUACUUUAUGAAUAAGGAUCGGCUAACUCCGUGCCAGCAGCCGCGGUAAUACGGAGGGUGCGAGCGUUAAUCGGAAUUACUGGGCGUAAAGCGCUCGUAGGCGGUAUGUCAAGUCAAGGGUGAAAUCCCCGCGCUCAACGUGGGAACUGCCUUUGAAACUGGCAAACUGGAGUGUGUGAGAGGAUAGUGGAAUUCCAGGUGUAGGAGUGAAAUCCGUAGAUAUCUGGAGGGACAUCAGUGGCGAAGGCGACUUUCUGGACUGUACCUGACGCUGAGGCGCGAAAGCGUGGGUAGCGAACGGGAUUAGAUACCCCUGUACG